AGUCUGUGCAAACCAGGAAUUUGAACCCUGGUUUUCCAGUCUCCUAAGCCCAGGAAUUCAACCUCUUUGCCACCAUUACCCCUGUUGACCUGGCAGUGCUGCCUGCCAGGAUGGAAACAGCCUCUCAGCUGCCCCACCUGAACCAACAAGGGUGAAGUGGGCCCAACCCAUCACCCAACACCUGUCAGUCUCAAGCUCAGU
rnacentral:lncRNA from 10 species